UGGGGAAUAUUGGGCAAUGGGCGCAAGCCUGACCCAGCCAUGCCGCGUGAGUGAUGAAGGCCUUCGGGUCGUAAAGCUCUGUGGGAAGGGACGAAAAAAACAGACCUAAUACGUCUGGGCUUGACGGUACCUUCUUAGCAAGCACCGGCUAACUCCGUGCCAGCAGCCGCGGUAAUACGGAGGGUGCAAACGUUGCUCGGAAUCAUUGGGCGUAAAGCGCACGUAGGCGGUCGGCUAUGUCGGAUGUGAAAGCCUCGGGCUUAACCCGAGAAGGGCAUCCGAAACUGGCCGGCUUGAGUAUGGAAGAGGGUCUCGGAAUUCCCGGUGUAGAGGUGAAAUUCGUAGAUAUCGGGAGGAACACCAGUGGCGAAGGCGGAGACCUGGGCCAAUACUGACGCUGAGGUGCGAAAGCGUGGGGAGCAAACAG
rnacentral:rRNA from 1 species